GUGUCCUUUUAAGGUUGGUGCUGUACUUUAAGAGGCUAACACAGAAGUGUAAAGGAACUCUCCAUCAAACCCAGAGAAGACGCUGAACACCUCCUCUUUGGAGCCUCUCUGGAGUCACAGCU